rnacentral:rRNA from 1 species
UAGGGAAUCUUCCACAAUGGACGAAAGUCUGACGGAGCAACGCCGCGUGAGUGAAGAAGGGUUUCGGCUCGUAAAACUCUGUUGUUAAAGAAGAACAUAUCUGAGAGUAACUGUUCAGGUAUUGACGGUAUUUAACCAGAAAGCCACGGCUAACUACGUGCCAC